rnacentral:sRNA from 2 species
UCGAACCUGCAGCAGGUUUGAGUUGAGCGCAGCGAAACAACGGAGCCGCUCGCGGCGACGGCCCGAAGGGCGAGCGAAGCGAGUCAUCCUGCACGACCCACCA